UUUCAGCGCCCCCAGCCUCUGUUGUUUAUGUUGUCACAGCCUGAGCUGACUGAGACACCAACCUUCAGAACCCAGCCCUCUGCCACAGACAGGAAAGCUGCGCAGGAGGCCAAGGGUACUGGAGGCACAGACGGGGGCCCGUGGGGGCAGGACAGCAGCCUCCCCGAGGCACAUGGCUGAGUGCUGAGCUGGGAAGGCACCAUCGUAAUGCCCUGGAGGGCCAGACUUGAAAUGAGAACUCUUACAAAACCACACCAGAGCACAGCCCACCUCCCUUCUCUUCCCUGACUGUGCCCCCCAGCAGAGGACCCUGGCCCACAGCCAAGCCACAUCCAUGCCACUCCUGCGAACAGCCACUUGUAAGUGGGUCAAGGGGUGGGCACAGAGGCAGAAUGGUCCCCUCAGGACAUCCUGGGAACGGCCCUGCACAGGCCUUGACAGCAAGCUUAGAG
rnacentral:lncRNA from 10 species